GGGACCGUUAUCCGAAUACUGGGCGUAAGCGUAGCGCUAGGCGGUUGUUCAAGACCGAUGUGAAAUCCCCGGGGCUUAACCUGGGAAUUGCCUUUGAGACUGCGUGUCUUGAGUGUGUCAGAGGUAUGUGGAAUUCCACAUGUAGCAGGUGAAUGCGUAGAUAUGUGGAGGAAUACCGAUGGCGAAGGCAACCUCCUGGGAUAAUACUGACGCUCAAGCCCCAAAGCGUGGGGAACCAACAGGAAUAAAUACCCUGGGUAUCCCCGCCCUAAACCAAGUCUGUAAUUGGUGGGGAUUCAUUUCCUUAGGAGACUCACUUACGCGUGUAGUUGACCGCCCGGGGAAUACGGGCGCCAGAAUAAAACUCCAAGGGAUUGGCGGGGAGCCGCCCAAGCGGUGGAUGAUGUGGAUUAAUUCGAUGCAACGCGAAAAACCUUACCUACCUUUUGACAUGCCACGGACCAAGCAGAGAUGCGUAUGUGCCCUCGAGACAAGGUGGACACGUGCGGUGCGUGGGUGUCCUCAUCUCGUGUCGAGAUAUGUUGGGUUAACUCCCGCAACGAGCGCACCCCUUGUCUCUAUGUGCUACGACAGGUGGCACCUCAGAGGCUGCUGGUGAUGCUCCGGAGGAAGGUGGUGAUGACGACGUCUCCUCAUGGUGGUUAUGGCUAGGUGUUCUCCCCUCAUGCUAUGGUGCAUACUAAGGAUUGCCAAUCCUCGAGGUGCAUCUCAUCUCAGAAUAUGCAUCGCAACCCGAAUCCUAGUCUGUGGCUCCACUACGUGAAGCUGGACUCCCUGCUAAUCGCGGAUCAUCAUGCCGCGGUGAAUACGUUCCCCGGUCUUGCACGGACAGUUGGUUCUCACCAUGGGAGUGGGCUUUACCCCAAUUUAGUUAUCCUAACCACGAUGAGGUCAAUUACCGCGGUUAGGUUCAUGACUGGGGGGCAGUCCAUACUAAGGUAACCAGGGGUUUUGUGUGGUGGGCGCUUCGACAUUUUGCUGUGGGGUUAAUUAAUCUUUCGUCGAG
rnacentral:rRNA from 1 species